rnacentral:snRNA from 1 species
UGUCCCUGUCUACUAUCC